rnacentral:misc_RNA from 1 species
AUAAAGUCCCCAAAUCAAACCACACUCAUUAUUACCAUCUACAGUUUCGAUCUCCACAAGAUAAAGUUGUGUUCUUUGUCCUGAAUACUGACAUAAUUAAUAUUGUAUUAUUCCCCUAAAUUCAAUCAGUAUGGUGAAUUAAUUUUGAGUGGAUGAACAUGACAACUCAACUUUAGGUUCAUAUCAAAACCAUAAAUGAUCACAGCAUGAUCCAGAUUUGACCCCCUCAAACUAACAGGUUUAAAUCUGAUUAGCAUAUGGCCAGGCUGAAUGUAGCAGCCUAACAAAACAUUUAAAGUAUAGCUCUUACGACAAAUUCUUAAGAACUUUCCAUGUUUGACCAGUUUCUGUAGAGUUUAACUUCCAUACAAUCAGCUCCCCUCCUGCAUGGAAAUUAUAUUUAUGUAUUGGCUAUAUUGCCUAGAUAAUUAUCUCAGAAAAUUGUCUAGCUAUAUUUUAGAGUGGAGAGACAAAAAGCUGCUGUAAUUUAAGGCAUACCAUCAGCACCAGAGGCAAGUAGAU